CCUACGGGAGGCUGCAGUGGGGGAUAUUGCACAAUGGGGGAAACCCUGAUGCAGCGACGCCGCGUGGGCGAAGAAGUAUUUCGGUAUGUAAAGCCCUAUCAGCAGGGAAGAAGAAAUGACGGUACCUGAGUAAGAAGCACCGGCUAAAUACGUGCCAGCAGCCGCGGUAAUACGUAUGGUGCAAGCGUUAUCCGGAUUUACUGGGUGUAAAGGGAGCGCAGGCGGCACGGCAAGCCUGAUGUGAAAGCCCGCGGCCCAACCGCGGGACUGCAUUGGGAACUACCGGGCUGGAGUGCCGGAGAGGUAGGCGGAAUUCCUAGUGUAGCGGUGAAAUGCGUAGAUAUUAGGAGGAACACCAGUGGCGAAGGCGGCUUACUAAACUGCCACUGACAUUGAUGCUCGAAAGUGUGGGUAUCAAACAGGAUUAGAUACCCGAGUAGUC
rnacentral:rRNA from 1 species